AUUGAACGCUGGCGGCAUGCCUUACACAUGCAAGUCGAACGGUAACAGGUCUUCGGAUGCUGACGAGUGGCGAACGGGUGAGUAAUACAUCGGAACGUGCCUAGUAGUGGGGGAUAACUACUCGAAAGAGUGGCUAAUACCGCAUGAGAUCUACGGAUGAAAGCAGGGGAUCGCAAGACCUUGUGCUACUAGAGCGGCCGAUGGCAGAUUAGGUAGAUGGUGGGAUAAAAGCUUACCAAGCCGACGAUCUGUAGCUGGUCUGAGAGGACGAUCAGCCACACUGGGACUGAGACACGGCCCAGACUCCUACGGGAGACAGCAGUGGGGAAUUUUGGACAAUGGGCGCAAGCCUGAUCCAGCAAUGCCGCGUGCAGGAUGAAGGCCUUCGGGUUGUAAACUGCUUUUGUACGGAACGAAAAGCCCCGGGUUAAUACCCUGGGGUCAUGACGGUACCGUAAGAAUAAGCACCGGCUAACUACGUGCCAGCAGCCGCAGUAA
rnacentral:rRNA from 1 species